UACGUAGGGGGCAAGCGUUGUCCGGAAUCAUUGGGCGUAAAGAGCGUGUAGGCGGCCCGAUAAGUCCGCUGUGAAAGUCCAGGGCUCAACCCUGGGAUGCCGGUGGAUACUGUCGGGCUCGAGUCCGGAAGAGGAGUGUGGAAUUCCUGGUGUAGCGGUGAAAUGCGCAGAUAUCAGGAGGAACACCAAUGGCGAAGGCAGCACUCUGGAACGCAACUGACGCUGAGACGCGAAAGCGUGGGGAGCAAACAGG
rnacentral:rRNA from 1 species